UUGUCGUCAGCUCGUGUCGUGAGAUGUUGGGUUAAGUCCCGCAACGAGCGCAACCCUCGCCUUUAGUUGCCAGCAUUUAGUUGGGCACUCUAAAGGGACUGCCGGUGUUAAACCGGAGGAAGGUGGGGAUGACGUCAAGUCCUCAUGGCCUUUAUGCCUAGGGCUACACACGUGCUACAAUGGGCGGUACAAAGGGCUGCAAUCCCGCGAGGGGGAGCCAAUCCCAAAAAGCCGUUCUCAGUUCGGAUUGGAGUCUGCAACUCGACUCCAUGAAGUUGGAAUCGCUAGUAAUCGUGGAUCAGCAUGCCACGGUGAAUACGUUCCCGGGCCUU
rnacentral:rRNA from 1 species